rnacentral:rRNA from 1 species
GAACGGACGCUGGCGGCAUGCCUAACACAUGCAAGUCGAACGAGGCCUUCGGGUCUAGUGGCGCACGGGUGCGUAACGCGUGGGAACCUGCCCUUAGGUUCGGAAUAACUCCCCGAAAGGGGUGCUAAUACCGGAUAAUGUCUUCGGACCAAAGAUUUAUCGCCUUUGGAUGGGCCCGCGUUGGAUUAGCUAGUUGGUAGGGUAAAAGCCUACCAAGGCGACGAUCCAUAGCUGGUCUGAGAGGAUGAUCAGCCACACUGGGACUGAGACACGGCCCAGACUCCUACGGGAGGCAGCAGUGGGGAAUAUUGGACAAUGGGCGAAAGCCUGAUCCAGCAAUGCCGCGUGAGUGAUGAAGGCCUUAGGGUUGUAAAGCUCUUUUACCCGGGAUGAUAAUGACAGUACCGGGAGAAUAAGCUCCGGCUAACUCCGUG